rnacentral:lncRNA from 1 species
AUCAGCAUCCAAGGAAGUCUCAAGGUGAGGCUGCAAUGCAGCCUUCUCAACAGGAUUCUAUAGAGAAGUGGGAUGCUAACUGAUUUCCAGAGGUGGCCUUGUUCCAGGGCUCUCUGAAAAUGCUACCUGGUGAUGAACUUGACUUUGUUCUUCUGAGCUAAGGGCACUGGCCCAGUGGGCCAUCUCACCAUGGCUCUACUCACCUGGUGGCCAGCAGAGUCCACUGAGAGCUGACUUCUGGGAGUCGUUGCUGGAAGAGAGUCUGGCAGGAAGAAUUGUCAAGUAUCUCAGCUGACUCCCCAGAGGAGAUGAAUAUCCUCCCCAGGGACAGCCAAGGAUAACAUCAGUCCUCUCUGGGCCAGCAAGAUGACUCAGCAAUAAAAGCACUCGCUGCCAAGUGUGACCCGACUGAGUUCAAUUCCCAGAACCUACGGAGUUGAACCAGAUAACCAACUCAUGCAAACUGCUCUGACCCCUACAUGGACAGCAUGGCAUAGGUGGUGGUGCUGUUUGGGAAGGCUAUGAAGGCUUCAGAAGGUGGAGGCUUGUUGGAGGAAGAGGAUCACUGGUGAUGUGCCUUGAUGUUUUAAAGUCUGGCCAAUUUCCUGUUUGCUCUUUAACUGCCUAGGCAAUGUAUCCAAAAGACUCAAGCUCCUGGAGCCAUGUUUUUCUACCAUGAUGGACUUCAUCCCUUCAAACUGUGAGCCAAGAUAAAUUCUUCCUUCUUUGGGUUGUUUCUUCUUGGGUAUUUGGUCACAGCAAUGAGAAGGUCCACAGGGAUCGCCACUGCUGGUUGAGCUCCACUGUUUCAAUGGUUCCUGCACCUGCACGAGAAAGCUACACAUCUGCAUCUCCUUGGUCGUGGAGUCCAAGGUGGUUCCCAGCUGCCCAUGGAGUCCUCUUCAGAGGACUGACAAGCUGGAGAUGGAAACUACAUUUGGAGUCCUGCUCCAGGAGGGAAAACGGAAAAACAAGACACUGCCCCCAGGUGCAUCCAGGCAGGAGCUCAUUUCCAUCCCAAAUUGGCUCCAGAGGGCGAAGGCUUCUGGGAGAUACCAGGUUCCUUCUGCAGGAUGAGGAUAAAAGCAGUGGGACUGAAACAGUGGGUGAGGACCAGGAGUGAAAGAAGACAUGCUGCAUGAGACCUGUAGCCCCUGUACAGCCUGCUUCAGAAGUAAAAGACUCGUUGGCCUGAGCAAGAACACAUCGCCCACCUCUUCAAACAGCUCUUGCAGAGCCGAGGUCCUGUUCUUCUCAGAUACUAGCAUCAAAUCAGUUCAACAAUCCUCUACCCACACCUCAUCCCUGAACUUUGGAUUUCAUCUUCAGCAGCAUCAAGAGGCAAGCAGCAAAUCGUUGCUUGUAUACCACAAGUGAUGGGGAGCUCAUUACACUGCAAACUUCUCAUCCAGCUUCUGAGCACCAGGAUGCCAUCAGUGUGCUCCAUCGUUGGAGCUGAUGUCGGUUCCCUGAGGAACCCUCAUGAGGAUGGAGCUUGGCCAAUUCAGUCCUGCAGAGGUUUACAAACCAAGUUCAUUUAAGAGAUUCUUUUUGUUUCCAGUAACUGUUUGGCUAAGUCUUCAGCUUCUGAGGCUAGUGAUUGGGAAGGCUCAUGCCGGUCUGUUUUUAAAGGUAUAACUUGGCUCAUAUAAAGCUAAAGUCUGGCCUGAUUCAGUACUGCCCUAAGAAAAGCCAUUUGCUCAAAGGUGUUUACAGAGGAGGGAGACAGUGGGUUUCAGCUGCUUGGUUCUGUUCUGGGGGGCAUUGGGAUCCAGCAAUCAUCAAGAAUGAUCUGGUCUGACUGUGACUCACUGGGCCUGAAUGAAUUACCCCUUCCCCUUUGAUAUCAGUUCCUUCCAGGACUUUGGUAAAGAAUUCAAGAGCAAGUGGAGCCUCCAGUUUAACCCUUUACCCCAUUUUACAGAUAAGGAAGACUGAGAGAGUGAGUCCCAGAAAGAGGAAUUGAAUUACCUUGGGGAAACUACUAAAGCCUAAAUCUUGUGGCUUUCACUUUCAGCGUGCUAGUACUUCACAACCAUGCUUUCUCUUAUUCCCUGGAUUUUAGAGCCUCUUUUUCUUCCCCCUACCUGAGUUUUCCCAGACUGAUCCAGACUUCAGAGGUCACCAACCUCCAGCCUUGAGCUUCCCUCAAACCUGGAGCUCAGCACAUACUUAUGUCAUGAACUUUUCCCCACAGAGACAAGAUUAAAGGGAGAUGUUAAUAUUCAAGCAACCUCGCUAAACAAGCA